rnacentral:rRNA from 1 species
CCUACGGGUGGCAGCAGUGAGGAAUAUUGGUCAAUGGGCGGAAGCCUGAACCAGCCAAGUAGCGUGCAGGAUGACGGCCCUACGGGUUGUAAACUGCUUUUAUACGGGAAUAAAGUGCCUUACGUGUAGGGCUUUGCAUGUACUGUAUGAAUAAGGACCGGCUAAUUCCGUGCCAGCAGCCGCGGUAAUACGGAAGGUCCGGGCGUUAUCCGGAUUUAUUGGGUUUAAAGGGAGCGUAGGUGGGAUGUCAAGCAUGCUGUGAAAUGUUGGGGCUCAACCCUGGCCUUGCAGCGCGAACUGGCGUGCUUGAGUCCGCGGAAAGCAGGCGGAAUUCGUCGUGUAGCGGUGAAAUGCUUAGAUAUGACGAAGAACCCCGAUUGCGAAGGCAGCUUGCUGCAGCGCAACUGACGCUGAUGCUCGAAAGUGCGGGUAUCGAACAGGAUUAGAUACCCGGGUAGUC